CGACGGGUGAGUAAUGUCUGGGAAACUGCCUGAUGGAGGGGGAUAACUACUGGAAACGGUAGCUAAUACCGCAUAACGUCGCAAGACCAAAGAGGGGGACCUUCGGGCCUCUUGCCAUCGGAUGUGCCCAGAUGGGAUUAGCUAGUAGGUGGGGUAAUGGCUCACCUAGGCGACGAUCCCUAGCUGGUCUGAGAGGAUGACCAGCCACACUGGAACUGAGACACGGUCCAG
rnacentral:rRNA from 1 species